rnacentral:rRNA from 1 species
CCUACGGGAGGCAGCAGUGAGGAAUAUUGGUCAAUGGACGAGAGUCUGAACCAGCCAAGUAGCGUGAAGGAUGACUGCCCUAUGGGUUGUAAACUUCUUUUAUAUGGGAAUAAAAUGUUCCAUGUGUGGGAUUUUGUAUGUACCAUAUGAAUAAGGAUCGGCUAACUCCGUGCCAGCAGCCGCGGUAAUACGGAGGAUCCGAGCGUUAUCCGGAUUUAUUGGGUUUAAAGGGAGCGUAGGUGGAUUGUUAAGUCAGUUGUGAAAGUUUGCGGCGCAACCGUAAAAUUGCAGUUGAAACUGGCAGUCUUGAGUACAGUAGAGGUGGGCGGAAUUCGUGGUGUAGCGGUGAAAUGCUUAGAUAUCACGAAGAACUCCGAUGGCGAAGGCAGCUCACUGGACUGCAACUGACACUGAGGCUCGAAAGUGUGGGGAUCAAACAGGAUUAGAUACCCCAGUAGUC